ensembl:miRNA cja-mir-1302 cja-mir-1302
AAAAUGCAGAAGCACAGCUAAAAUUUGAGUUUCAGAUAAACAAAUUUUUCUUAGAAUAAGUAUAUCUCCAUGCAACAUUUGGGACAUACUUAUGCUAAAACAUUAUUUGUGUUUCAUCUGAAAUUCAAAUUCAACUGGAUAUCCUGUAUUUU